rnacentral:rRNA from 1 species
GGCCGCGGUAUUUUGACCGUGCAAAGGUAGCGUAAUCACCUGUCUUUUAAAUAAAGACCUGUAUGAAUGGCAAGACGAGGGUUUUACUGUCUCCUCCCCCCAGUCAAUGAAAUUGAUCUACCCGUGCAGAAGCGGGUAUAAAAACAUAAGACGAGAAGACCCUAUGGAGCUUUAGGCAUAUAUCAAAUAUGUAAAAAACCAAAUUUUUCCAAAUAGGCCUAAAAAAUGAGAAAAACAAGUAUUAAUGAUUAAGUGCCUUCGGUUGGGGCGACCACGGGGAAAAAUAAAACCCCCACAUGGAAUGGGAAAAAUAACCCUAAGCCAAGAAAAACACUUCUAAGCAACAAAAUUUUUGACCAAUAAACGACCCAGGGACACCAUCCCUGAGCAAUGAACCAAGUUACCCUAGGGAUAACAGCGCAAUCCUUUCCCAGAGCCCAUAUCAACGAAAGGGUUUACGACCUCGAUGUUGGAUCAGGGCAUCCUAACGGUGCAGCCGCUGUAAGGGUUCG